AUGUACCACAAGUCUCUCUCCUCGGGGAUUCACUUCCUCGUGCCCGGCAUCGACCGCAUCGCCUACGUCCACUCGCUCGAGGAGGAGGCCAUCCAAAUCCCGGACAACCCUGCCAUCACAAAGGAUGGCACCUUGAUCCAGAUCGGAGGAGUGCUCCAUGUCAAGAUUGCCGAUCCCUUCCUUGCUUCCUACGCCAUAGAGAACCCCAUCUAUGCAGUCACCCAUCUCGCGGAGUUUGUUGCAGGCAGUGAAAUUUGCAAGAUUACCCUUGACAAGACUUUUAAGGAAAGAGACACGCUCAACCACAACAUCAUGAAGUCAAUCAAUUACGCAUCAUGCGAGUGGGGUGUCAAAUGCCUCAAAUACAACAUACGCAUUACUCCAACAGAGGGAGCUAAGAAAGCCAUGGAGAUGCAGCUUGAAGCAGAAUCUAUGAUGGAAAGGGUGAAGAAAGCAAAGGGUACGUGA
rnacentral:rRNA from 1 species